rnacentral:rRNA from 1 species
AUCACUCGGCUCGUGGAUCGAUGAAGCCCGCAGUUAAAUGCGCGUCAC